rnacentral:tRNA from 1 species
GCGGGUAUGGCGGAACUGGCAGACGCACUAGAUUUAGGUUCUAGCGACGAGAGUCGUGGGGGUUCGACUCCCUUUACCCGCACCA